UGGGGAAUUUUCCGCAAUGGGCGCAAGCCUGACGGAGCAAGACCGCGUGAGGGAUGAAGGUCUGUGGAUUGUAAACCUCUUUUGAUAGGGAAGAAGCACUGACGGUACCUAUCGAAUCAGCCUCGGCUAACUCCGUGCCAGCAGCCGCGGUAAUACGGAGGAGGCAAGCGUUAUCCGGAAUUAUUGGGCGUAAAGCGUCCGUAGGUGGCGAUUCAAGUCAGUUGUCAAAGCACAGAGCUUAACUCUGAAAAGGCAAUUGAAACUGAGUAGCUAGAGUGCGAUAGGGGCAAGGGGAAUUCCCAGUGUAGCGGUGAAAUGCGUAGAUAUUGGGAAGAACACCGGUGGCGAAAGCGCCUUGCUGGGUCUGCACUGACACUGAGGGACGAAAGCU
rnacentral:rRNA from 1 species